rnacentral:misc_RNA from 1 species
CCGAGUUUACAACUCCCAAACCCCUGUGAACAUACCACUUGUUGCCUCGGCGGGUCAGCCCGCUCCCGGUAAAACGGGACGGCCCGCCAGAGGACCCCUAAACUCUGUUUCUAUAUGUAACUUCUGAGUAAAACCAUAAAUAAAUCA